rnacentral:rRNA from 1 species
UACGUAGGUGGCAAGCGUUGUCCGGAUUUAUUGGGUUUAAAGGGUGCGUAGGCGGCUUCGUAAGUCAGCAGUGAAAUACGCCAGCUUAACUGGAGAGGUGCUGUUGAUACUGCGGAGCUUGAGUACUGAUGAGGUAGGCGGAAUGGACGGUGUAGCGGUGAAAUGCAUAGAUAUCGUCCAGAACACCGAUAGCGAAGGCAGCUUACUAAGGAGUAACUGACGCUGAGGCACGAAAGUGUGGGGAUCAAACAGG